AUGAAGAAAAGAUGGUUUAUUGAUUCCCAAAAACAAAAAAAAAUCUUACAAUAUGACUGUAUUGUAGGUCUUUACGUUAUCAGUGUUAAACCUUAUUAAACAUAAGGCUUUUUGGUAGGUCGUUACGUUUCAGUGAUUGCAACUAGGUAGGUCUUUACGUUUCAGUGAUUGCAACUAGUAUUGUUACUACUCAUUCUACAUUUAAUUGUCUGUACCAUUUGCAAUAAUAAUGGGGGGGGGGGAAGAUUUAGAUGUAAAACACAAUAAUUUGUCAUGAAAUUUGAAAAAUACAACAAAUAGACGAGCGUUGUAAAACCAAUAAAAGAAUGCAACAAUAAAAUUAAUUUUGAGAAAUCGGUACCGUGAUAUUUCCUAUUAAUCUCAUAAAUUCAAUAAACUGCAGAAAGAAUUAAGAUAACUUUUGUGAAAACUUUGUGCACUUUAUUUGGAGAUAAAACUUGGUGGAGAAAACAAACAAA